rnacentral:rRNA from 1 species
UACGGAGGGUGCAAGCGUUAAUCGGAAUUACUGGGCGUAAAGCGUGCGCAGGCGGUUUGGCAAGGCAGAUGUGAAAUCCCCGAGCUCAACUUGGGAACUGCGUUUGAAACUGCCAGACUAGAAUAUGUCAGAGGGGGGUAGAAUUCCACGUGUAGCAGUGAAAUGCGUAGAGAUGUGGAGGAAUACCGGUGGCGAAGGCGGCAUCCUGGACCGACCUUGACGCUGAACGGCGAAAGCUAGGGGAGCAAACGGG